CAACCACCUUAAAAUGGAAAAGCAGGUGUUCUACAGCAAAAUUCAGCCAGGUGAGUCUCCAGGAACAGAAUCAAGCAUCCCUGCUGUUUUUACAGGAACAGCUACAACAAAAUAACCUGAAAAUCCUUCAGAAAUAUCUUCUGUCCACAAAGAACGGCACAUGCAGUUGAAAGAAUGUGAUGAUCCAUUGGCUGCGAUCUCUGUGGCGGAAUGCUGCUGGUACCCCCUUCUAACCUCCCCCCAACCCUCCCCUUGAGUUCACCCACCCACUCAUUAGGAAUUCCAGCCGGGCAUUGUGGGUGGGAUGAAUGGGGUCAGAGCCAAGGAAUGAAACAUACAUGUAUCUCUCUCUUAUUCUGUUUGGGAGUGGGUGAAGAGAGCAAGAGGGGCCCUAAAUCAAAUAAACAUCUCAGCCCGAUUGCUUCAUCUCUGCUUUCCAAGAAAACCAGACAUCCAGGCUGAGAAUAAACUCUAUUUGCAUUGUCUCUUCCAGCUGUGGAUCUCUAAGUGUCUUUUAUUGAAUCUGGUCUCAUUAGAGAGCCGGACCAGCAGAGAUGAUGCUGCUGUGGACAGCACUCAGCUAUAGCACUUAUAUCCAGAGAGAUUAUAUAUAAACACUACACUGUGUUUUGGAUCCAUAAUGGCUUCCUCCCCGCUCUCGAGUCUCUUGUUGCUACAAACUCUGUUGUUUAUGGCACUGAU